GGGAACGUAGUAUAACCUGGCUAGAAUAGGCGGCUCCAACCCGCCGGAUGGGGGUUCAAAUCCUUCCGUUCUCA
rnacentral:tRNA from 1 species